AAAUACGACACAUGUAUAAAGAAGCCGCUGUCAAGUCUCUCGUUUUUAUAAUCAAUCUUGUCACGCCACGUUAAAAUAAAGAUUACUGCAAUGUAAGCGCGUACAAUAUUUUUUUUUUCUCCAACAUACAUGGACUUGAAUUAUAAUAAUUCCACUUUUUUAACAUAUUCUCUGGAAUCAGCGGAAUUCGCUGAAGCAAGGCGAUUGCUGCGUUACAACCGGACGUAAAGGCGCGAUAUCAGAUAUACGAGCGCGACUGCGGACAGAACACAGCACCUCACACACAACCGCGAAAGCAAAACAGGAUAUUAUCUCGGUGGCAAAAAAUUUCGUCUUGGGAAACGGCUUUUAUCACAUUGAUUUAUGACCUCGAUCCGCAGCUUAGCGUGCGACGGGCUACGCGUGUAACCCCAUUUUCAAGAAGUGAGGCACGUAUAGAGCGUAGGAGCGAGGUGCAGCGGUCCAGAUAGAUGCAGAAAGAGACGGAAAAGCGAGAGGUGGUGCAGGCCGAUAGAACGAGAAACAAAGAGGCAGAGGAGGAUCUGAUGAGAGAGGAGAGGAGUUCUCCAACGCGCGAUACUCGGCACACAGAACCGCCGAUGGUCGCCGUUACUCCGCACUCCGAUUCGUUCCAACGGGCGCUGCCGCACCGGACUUCAGUCCGCUCGGUCCACCUCACAGUCGGAAUACCUGGAAUUUCGACGUUAUACCUAGACGACCCGUGGGCGCGGGUGAGAGAAUAUCGCCGGUAGUCUCCGACGAGCCGAUCAGCGGCUGCGUGUUUUGCAGGCCCCGAUCAAGGCCGACACCCCGAGGAUACCGUUUUUGUGCACGUUAAAAAGAAGUCGCGACUACUUUCCGCAACCACGUAGCGCAGAUUCGAAGAUAAUGGUGUCAUUAAUUUAUUAUCUGGAAAAUUUGUAUUAUUUCUCCUUGAUGUAGGAAAGAUCUAGA